GAGAUCGUCAUUGGCGGCACAGGAAAGGAUUCAUCUGGAUAUUUGAGAAGAUCAUAGUCAUCAAGAAAAACUUCAACUAAUUUAAGGGCAGAAGCUUGGUGACACUGCUAAGGGUGAUGCACGUGAAUAGUUUUGAUGGCUUAUGAGGGUUGUUUAAUAGAUGAAGAGUUGUCGUUGGCCAUGGGAGGCAAAAAGAAAAGGAAGGAUCGACGUCCUAUGUUGAAGAAGAUAAAAAAAAAAAAAAACAAAACAUCCAUGAACAAGUAAAACAUAAAAGACAUUAGAUGAAAAAGAGACUUUUAGGGGACCACUAGGCCACCGACGGCAACAAAGACAAAGUAGAAAAGGAUCAGAAAACCUGCUCUGAUACCAUAUAGAAAACCUACUCUAAUACCAUAUAGAAAAGUAUUUUGGAUGAAUUUCUUAUUUGACCAUUGGAUUGCAAUAGUAUAAAUAUACAAAUUGAUAACCUAAUUGGAAAUAGUUAAAAGGAAUAAACUCCACCCAGUAUAAAUAUACAAAUUGAUAACCUAAUUGGAAAGAGUUAAAAGAGAAUAAACUCCACC
rnacentral:lncRNA from 1 species